GACCCCCGGUGACGUCAGUGGGCCUGUCUGUUUCCUGCAAUAGAAAGUGAGAGAAGAGAGACUAAAUAAUCAAUUUGUCCUUACAGUUAAGGUGUGUUACACCUGCAACCCCUGACAAUUAUUAAUAUUAAGACUGCACUUAGGGUGUCCCUGACUGUGUGUAUGUGGAGUCAGCUGUCCCCCAGCUGGUCUACCUGCAUUAGAGAAUCUACCACCUUUCAGAAGAUGUGUCAGUGAGUGAACCAACCAACCGGGGAGAAGAAAAUGCCGCGCACAAAGCAGAACAACCCCAAGAACCUUAAAGGAGGGCCCCCAUUAACAUCGCCGUGGCUUUUGUGGAGCGG